rnacentral:misc_RNA from 1 species
UCCGAGUUGACCCCGGCGGUCUCCUACGAGUCCCCGGCAUAACCCGCUGGCAACAUAGGACAAGGGUUGCGCUCGUUGCGGGACUUAACCCAACAUCUCACGACACGAGCUGACGACAGCCAUGCAGCACCUGUGUCCCUGCCCCUUGCGGGGAGGAAUCCAUCUCUGGAAACCGUCAGGGCAUGUCAAGGGCUGGUAAGGUUCUGCGCGUUGCGUCGAAUUAAGCCACAUGCUCCGCCGCUUGUGCGGGUCCCCGUCAAUUCCUUUGAGUUUUAGCCUUGCGGCCGUACUCCCCCGGCGGGGUGCUUAAUGCGUUUGCGACGGCACGGAAGGGGUUGAUGCCUCCCACACCUAGCACCCAACGUUUACGGCUGGGACUAC